rnacentral:rRNA from 1 species
UCUCCGUUGGUGAACCAGCGGAGGGAUCAUUACCGAGUUUUCAACUCACCAACCCCUGUGAACUUUUUACCAACGUUGCUUCGGCGGGAACAGAUGGCCCUGUAGAACGGGCCACCCCCGCCAGAGGACCCCCAAACACCCUGUAUCUCUAGUUUUUCUGAGUANACAAGCAAAUAAAUCAAAACUUUCAACAACGGAUCUCUUGGCUCUGGCAUCGAUGAAGAACGCAGCGAAAUGCGAUAAGUAAUGUGAAUUGCAGAAUUCAGUGAAUCAUCGAAUCUUUGAACGCACAUUGCGCCCGCCAGUACUCUGGCGGGCAUGCCUGUUCGAGCGUCAUUACAACCCUCAGGCCCCCGGGCCUGGCGUUGGAGGUCGGCGGAGAGCCCCUGUGGCUACACGCCGUCUCCCAAAUACAGUGGCGGUCCAGCCGCAGCUUCCAGUGCGUAGUAGCUAACACCUCGCACCGGACAGCGGCUCGGCCACGCCGUGAAACCCCCAACUUCUGAAUGUUGACCUCGAAUCAGGUAGGAAUACCCGCUGAACUUAA